GAUUAUAUAAAAUAUGUUUUAAGAUAACAACACCAUCUAAAAUUUAUCUUUUUGAAAAGAAAAUUAAUAUUAUAAAUAAAACUUCAUUUUUGAUUAUAUAGUUAAUUAUAUACAAAUUCAUUAAGGGUAGUAUAGAUAUUAACCGUUCUAACUUUUAACGUGAGAGCUCUAUUGCAAAAUUUACUUCGCAAAUAAUAGUAUAGAUUGAUAAAUAAUCCGAAACUUUAUUUUACCGUCCAAUAUAUCCAAUGCUAAACCGGAUUAAGAACUCCAAUUAAAAACUGGUAUAUUAAUUAGUUCCUCCCGGGUCAAAAUUUAGAUAGGACAAACACAAAUCAUUUAAACUAAGAUCACAAUCUUAUAGCCCACGUUAAUUUUGUGGAGGCUUUUUUUUUUGACAACGAAUUUUGUGGAGGUUAAUAAUUGUAUUGCCAUAUCUUUUUCAUUUGUAAUCUAUCUAUCUAUCUAUAUCAUUAAAAAAGAAGUACAAAAUAUAAAUGUCCCUUAAUUUUACCAUUUAUUUACACUAGAAUGCCAAUGAAUAUUUAUUGAACCUAUAUUUAAAUUUGAUUGUAUUUUUCUAAUUUAAAUAAUAUAUUAAUCAUCUAAUGUCUUUCCUAAUUUGAAUAAUAGAUUUUUUAAAUUGAAUCUUAACCAAGAUAGAUUUCCCAAUAGAUUUUGUAUUAACAUAUUAAAUAUUUUUCAAUAUUCAUUAGAAAUAAAAUAUAAAGUAAAAAAUCACACAUCAUAAUCAAUUUAUAUAAUAUAUAAGUAAAAUAUAAAAUAAACUAUUGAUAAAUUAUUGGUAUAAUGUUUUCAUAUAUAUAAGUCCAGUUCAUUAUAAAUAUUGUAUUUGCUUAUAUGAUACAAUGUGAUAUAAUAGAAGAUUAAGAUAAAAAAAUAUAACUAUUCAAAGUACUAAAUAAAAUUGUAAUGUUUUAAAAAUGUUAUAUGAUCAAUUAUGUAAUACAUUUAAAUUAUAAAAUAUAUAUUAUACCAUUUAGUACAAAAAAGAAUUUAAGUUAAAACAAAUAUCAGAUGGUAACAUGUCAAGCUCUAAGAAUAAACAAUACCAGUGUGGAACAAUUUUAUUUAGCAAAUUUAUUCUAAUAGAAAUUAUAAUCCCAAAUAUUUUUAUAUAUUUUGCUAAUUUAUAAAAUUUAUUUUAUUUAUUUUUAAGGGGUGCUAAAAUUUUGGAAUUGGAAAUAAUUAUGACCAACCCUAUACUAUUUUAAUUAGGAUAAUUUAAAUUUAUAUCAAAAUCUUUUAUUAAAAUUUAAUUUAUAAAUAGAAGGUGCAACUUUAUUUUGUGAUAUACGUUUGUGUUAUAACAGCAUAGUUUAGUUUUCGAUCUAAAUUUAUGAAUAAAAAGUACAACUUUAUGUUGUGAUAUACAUUUUUGUGAAAAAUAAUUUAAAAUAUAUACUACGACGCUUUAUGGAGUAAGAGCAAACAAAUAUAUGACUUUAAAUCACGAAGUUAUUUACAAAAAUAGUUAAAGAAGUAAAGGAAUAAGAAGACCAUGCAUGUUGACUAUAGCAUUAUUUUGUUUGAAAAAGCCAUAAACAUUUGAAAAUAUGUUUAACGUUAAAAAUAUUUACCAUUAACGAUGCAAAUUUUUUUUACGUAUAUAAAAAUGAAAUCAAACACCCGUGCGGUUGCGCAGAUUAAGAUCUAGUUCAACUUAGAAAUAUCAGUAAAUCAUGAUAAAUAUAUUAGGUUUCUUAUAUGGAUCUGUUGGCUAUUUAUUUUAUCUUAAAAUGUUAACUUUAGAAUCAUGAAACUAAAUAACUUUUUUGUCUCAUAAAGAUAAUACAAAUUUUAUACUUAUGUUAAAAUUUUAACUUCCUAAUUCGGCCGAUUAAGGAGAUGAUAUAGGUUGAUAAAGAAAAGGGGAUGAUAAAUAGUAAAAGACCCAUUCCGACUUAGUUGGGCUAAGUUGAAAUGCACUAAUUCGAAUACCUCAAUAUAGGUGCAUUAAUGCUCAAUUUGUUUUUUACCUGGUUAAUUAUGAUAUUACAAAUUAUGAGAAACAUUAUAUAUAAGAUAUUACAACUGAGGAUUCACGUCUGAUUGCAUCAUUCUAAGUAGUCCUAUGAGAUCCAUUCCUGACGGUACUCCUUGCGCCAUGCUGAAGAUCUCUUGUAAGCAUUUUUUUUUUAAUUUUCUGCAUAAUUCGCCUUCUCCGGAAAUUGAAACCUAGACCUUUUCCUGUUGAAAUUGCGUUGUCUGGGAUUCAAACCCCACACAUGGAUGUAGAAGCCUUUAAACUUUGACCACUAAGCCACGAUGCUUCCACAAAAUUACGUUAUAGUGAUAUGGCUCAUAAAUAUUGGUUCGUAGAUAUUUGAACUAUAAUAUGCCCUUUGAGGUUAGUUUUCGAACUGUGAUAUUGGCCAUCUAAUGGUUGCACAAAUAAACAGAAGGCCGUUUAUACUUCAAUGUUUUGCCUAUCUAAGCUAACUCACUCAUCUCGCUUGCUUAAAUAGAAUGUGAAACUUUAUUCAUGGAUUAAAGAGUUUGGGUAAAGCUCAAAGUCACUAGCUAAGGGGGAAAGUUUUGAAGUCUCUUCUCGAGGAAAUGAACAGAAACUUAGCUCUGAAAUCCAAAUGCAAGUGGAAUCCUCACAUACAUAGUAUUCGAUUUAAUACAUAAAUUGUAUUGCAAUUUUGGGUUUUGAUUAGGGUUUCGAUUUGGGUUUUGAUUAGGGUUUCAAUUUGGAGUUCGGUGUUGCUGUUGGUUUCGAGUAGGGUUUUGAUUUUGUGUUUUCAUUUCGGUUUCAAGUUAGGGUUUUGAGUUUUUCAAUCUUAACGCUUCUUCUGUUUCUCUUUCUGCAGAUGUCAGAAACGUGAGACCCCAAUUGAGAGCCGCUUCAAUGCAUCCUGGUAGGACUCCUGCUUCUUCUCAACCAACAAUACCUUCUGGAGUGGUCGGCUCUUCAACUUCAUAUGCGGCUCCUCCUCCUCCUCCUCCUCCUCCAACCUAUGCGACGAGAACAGAAGAGGCUCUGCUACGUGCUCCAACCCGAAUUAAUCAGCCACACCUCCAUCUUGAUAAGAUCAAUGGAGCAUUGUGGAUCGGAGUUGAUCUUGAAGUCCAUGAGUUUAUAAGAGCAACAUGGCAGAGAAACUUCUGGGGCCGUGGCAAAGCUGGUUAAAGGUUCCAGUGGAGAAGAAAACAAGUUGGUGGCACUCAUUCAUUAUAAGUGAUCGUGAACUUCCAUUCCCAUUCUCAUUUCCAUUAUUAAUUACUCCUUAAUAUUUUGCUUCUAAUUACUUCUCUUCAUUUGUAGCAACAAUACUACUGGGAAGACCAAUUUCAUGAAGAAAUCUACUUCAAAUGGAAGCUUCAGACUCAAGUGACUAUCUGCGGACGCAUCAGCCAGAAAAGACAAAAGAACAAGCAGCCAAGUUACAUCAGUGCGACUGACUGGGAAACAAUCCUUGCGAAUUGGUCCACAGCUGAAGCAAAAGCCAAGAGCCAAUCGCAGCUGAAUCUCGUUGUGCUGCUCCUCCAGGGCUGAAGAUGCACGUCCAUGGUGCAGGACCACACACCUUUGCAAAUAUUGUGUAUAACAUGGUUGUUGAGGAAGGUCUGGAGGGACAAGUUUCAUAUCCCGACCUUGUGAGGAAGACUCACUGCCGUAAAGAUGGAACCUUCCUUGACGAACGAGCAGAGGCACUGGUUCUGGAGGUUGAGCAAGCGGUUGAACGGCUGCCACAAGAACUUCAAAGACCUUCUCCUAAACGAAGAAUACAUCAAGCGUGGACAGACACUGGCACCAUUUAUUGUCUUGGCAAUCUUCAGUACAAGAACAAGCGUCCUUCCCUUCUGAGUCUGUCCCUGCUGCACUCAAUUGAGAUAUAAACAUGUAGAUUCGGGGUUCUAGCCUGGAGACUCUCACACAGGAAAUCAAGUCUGAUGUUCAUGCUUUAAAGACUGACUUCAAUGAAGGCACAGCUAGAACUCAGUCAACUCUCAACAUGAUUCUGCAACUUCUUCAGGCUCGAACUUCUGCUGCACAAGCAAGUCAGUCUCAGCAUCACUCUCCCUCUCAUUCUGCAGCUCCACCUCAAGGUCAAGCUCAACCUGAAGGUCACGGUCAAGCUCCAACUCCACCUCACGAUCAGCCUCAAGAUCCAGGUGAUGCACAACCUCAACAUCGCAUCACCACUAACAAUUCUGCUUUAGAUAGGUGGUGUAAUGAACUUGGAUUGUAGGUUUAGAUGUGGCUGCUUAUGUAUUAUGGUUUCAAGUUUUGAACCUUUUGAAUGUUUGAAUGUUUAUCUUUUGAAUGUUUUGUGGAUCUUUUGAACUCUUAGGAAGCUAAUGUAAUAUAAAUUCCCUUUCUGUUCUAGCUUCUUUUUUAAAAUGUUCAGAAUCAAAACCAAAACCCAGGAAAAUUGGACCAAAAGGAAACAAAUGAAAUAAAAAUUUUGUUUCCAUUUCGUUGUAAUAUGCGAAAAAAUUAUCGUAGCAAAUUCGUGGUAAGUUGCCACGAAAAGGACGUAGCAACAUCGUAGCAAAUUUGCCACGAAAUGGUCGUCUCAAAAUGUAGCAAGAUGCACGAUUUAUAACGUAGCAAAACGUAGCAAAUUGCCACGUUUCUUUUCAAAGCAAAACGUAGCAAGUUGCCACGUUUCUUUUCGUUGCAACGUCAUAUCAAUUUGCUACGAUUUUGCUACGAUGCGACGAUCUUAUAGCUACGAAAAUAUAAACAUGGCUUUUCGUAGCAAAACCCCCAUAUAGCUACGAAAAUUUCCCUAUAGCCACGAUUAUUUGUCGUUGCUAUUUGAGUUUUGUUUACUAGUGUAUGGCAAAAUUCAGUUUAUCUCAUACGUAAAUAGAUUAUCAAACAUUUUGUAUUACUCGAACUUUCGGAUCUUAUAUUCAUAAUCUCUCAGGAUUUUGAAAUCCAUCUUUUAAAAUUCUGAAUUUAAAAGUAAUACUUCGUACCAAAAUAAUAUGAACGUGAAACACAAAGAGACCAAUCAUAGUAUCAACACCUAGGUGAAAUUAUCAAACAUGUCUAUCAUAUUUUUAAAAGAACAAAUUUAAUAUUUUGUUCUCUGAGUACCGCCACCUGGGUUCUCUGAGUACCGCCACCUGGGUUCUCUGAGUACCGCCACCUGGGUUUGAAUCCGGUCACCUGGAACACUUUAAGUGGUAAGAAAACGUGGAUUUUAUAGGCGUCGUGGUGAUUAGUUAUUGAACCUAGAAAACCUUUGAGAUCUUACCAUGAUCAUCAAACAAUAUAUUAUUUUGUUUGAUUUUUUUCUCUAGAAAUUCAAAUUAUUUAUUCUGUAUAUGCAGAACAUUUGUUAGUGUCAGCAAAUCCGAUCAUAAACAAGGUACAUCCGAAAAUAUCGAUCUUUUCGGAUUAAUAAUGCUUGAUAUUUUAUUCAGAUGCUUAUACUUUUAAGUAUCAUGUAGACGAUAUAUAAAAAGAAUUUUGAAAUUUUAUUUUAUUUAAGUACCAAAUAGUAUCUACAGGCAGGUGAGCAAAUAAUUUAAAGGAGAACUAAUUCUAAAUAUUUAUUGCUGUUAUAGGACGUUUAUUAUUUAUGAGGUCAUUUGUUCGAGGGUUGUCUAUGUAUUAAAUAGUAGGGGUUAACUGGUUAUGAUUUUCUGUAAAAUUUUAUCGCUACCUGGGUUCGAAUCCGGUCACUUGGAACACUUUAAGUGGUAAGAAAACGUGGAUUUUAUAGGUGUCGUGGUGAUUAGUUAUUGAACCUAGAAAACUUUUGAGAUCUUACCAUGAUCAUCAAACGAUAUAUUAUUUUGUUUGAUUUUUUUCUCUAGAAAUUCAAAUUAUUUAUUUUGUAGAUGCAGAACAUUUGUUAGUGUCAGCAAAUCCGAUCAUAAACAAGGUACAUCCGAAAAUAUCGAUCUUUUCGGAUUAAUAAUGCUUGAUAUUUUAUUCAGAUGCUUAUACUUUUAAGUAUCAUGUAGACGAUAUAUAAAAAGAAUUUUGAAAUUUUAUUUUAUUUUAAGUACCAAAUAGUAUCUUCAGGCAGGUGAGCAAAUAAUUUAAAGGAGAACUAACACUACAAAAAAAUAGUUAUAUUGUGACCAAAUUAUUUGUCACAAUAAAACACAAUUCGUCACAAUAAAAAUAUUGCGACAUAUUUGUGACAAUUUCAUUGUGGUUAUAAUACGGUCCUCACAAAUUUUGUUGGUAACAAAAACCGUUACAAUGUUACGACCAUUACAUAUAGUAACUAUUCCGUCACAAAUAGCAACCAUAUAUAAAAGUAAUAAAAAUGUUACAAUUACCAACUACAAUUUAACGUAACAAAGUUGUCAUAUUUUGUGACUAUCACAACGUGCUAAUUCCGUCUCUGAUUACCACUGAAAUAUAGUCUCUAACCGUCACAAACUAAUACUAGUAAAGAAUCAUCACUAAUCCGUCUUCAUUUGCGACUCUUUUAGUUGCUUUAAUUUUGUAAUACUUUAUAACUAAUAAUAGUCACAAAUUCAAGUUAAAUUUUUUAUACCCCAUCUAUAAACUUUUGACUUAAUUAGUUAACAAUUUGUCAUCACGAUUAAUUCAGAAUUCACUAAACUAUUGCUUUAUUUUUAUAGUUAAUAUUUGUAAUAAUAGUGAAAGAAUACAAAAGUAACUAGUAUUUGAAACUAAAUUAAUAUAAACAAUUUUAAAAGAAUAUUAUAAUAUCGACAAAAAAUUAUAAUAUAUGCUACUACAUUCAGCUUCCGGUACUGUGCUGCGGUCGAGAGAAAACAGUUAGGGUUUCCUGAAAUUUUAUCUUCGGUUGACUCUUGCACAGGAAUCGAAAGUUAUGGCGGCUAAGGCUUACAAACUCUUGCAAUGACAGAACUCCAUGAUGUGUUCUCGAUUGGUGUCCAUCUCAAAACAAUGGUUCUAAUAUUAUAUGCCUUUGUCUGACCUCCAGCUGAUUGCCCAGUUCUUUCAAGAUCGAUCUCUUCCUCUCCUUAUUAAAAACCCAACCGCGAGACACACAUACCACCACAACACCAGAAACGAGGGUGGUGCCCAACAUCGGAAACGCACAUCUCUCACUUUUUUCUAUCUCUCAUUCUCUCUAAGGUGGUGGCUGCGGCUAUUCUCUUGGAGUAUAUAGAUUUUAUACAUAUAUAUAUAUAUAUAUAUAUAUAUAUAUAUAUGUGCACACACGUGUCCUCAUUAUUGAUUAGGGUUAUAGACUUGUAGGUAAUGGGCUGUAAUUUGUUUUGAGUUUGGCUUAAUGGAUCGAUCAUACAUAGCAUCAUUUAUUUUCAAUAUGUUUCAGCUUUGAAGAUAUUAUUUUCUAUCUCUUUUCAUUUUGACAUAUGACCGAUAUCUAAUAAGAAAAGUAUAUGCUGUUCAUAUCAUUUUAAACACACAUCUAAAAAAUAGUGACAUCUAAAAUAGAUAGUAAAUAACCAUAUUUUAAAUUAGUAUGAAAUGAAGUAAGUUUUAAAAUAUUGAAGUAUAUAAAAAUAUAUACAUAUCAAGUAAAAAGUAUCAAAACUAUAUUUUUUUAAUCACUGACUUUAUAAAAAUAUAGUUAAAUCAAUUUAGAAAUGUUUAUGUAAAAAGAACAUAAAAAACAUUUGUAAAUUGAUUUAAUAAUAUGACGGAUUUGUUAUAUUGUUCUGUUACAUUUUAUUACUAUUUCUUUUGUCAUCAUAUUGUUACAUAGUGAGACUAUAUGUAUUCCAUCACAGGUUCGUAACUGAUUUGCGACGACGUGUAUUGUCAUAAUAUUGUCACAAUUGUUACGACUGUUAGUUUUGUCUCAAUUUUGUCACUGGCUGUGACAAAAGUAGAUACGAUUUAAAAUCGUAACAAUAUUGCGACGAAAAAACUACUCAUUUAUGACAGAAAACUUAAGUCACAAUUACGUAUUUAAAAAGUAACAAAUUUGUGACAAAUAAUUUGUGUAUCAAAAUUUCGUCACAAUAAGAUCAUUUUCUUGUAGUGUAAUUCUAGAGAUUCAUUAUGUAUAAUUUUGAAACAGAUUGUUAAUAUUUAUUGUUGUUAUAGGACGUUUAUUAUUUAUGAGGUCAUUUGUUCGAGUGUUGUCUAUGUAUUAAAUAGUAGGGGUUAACUGGUUAUGAUUUUCUAUAAAAUUUUAUCGCUAUCUGGGUUCGAAUCCGGUCACUUGGAACGCUUUAAGUGGUAAGAAAACGUAGAUUUUAUAGGUGUCGUGGUGAUUAGUUAUUGAACCUAGAAAACAUUUGAGAUCUUACCAUGAUCAUCUAACAAUAUAUUAUUUUGUUUGAUUUUUUUCUCUAGAAAUUCAAAUUAUUUAUUUUGUAGAUGCAAAACAUUUGUUAGUGUCAGCAAAUCCGAUCAUAAACAAGGUACAUCCGAAAAUAUCGAUCUUUUCGGAUUAAUAAUGCUUGAUAUUUUAUUCAGAUGCUUAUACUUUUAAGUAUCAUGUAGACGAUAUAUAAAAAGAAUUUUUAAAUUUUAUUUUAUUUAAGUUCCAAAUAGUAUCUACAGGCAGGUGAGCAAAUAAUUUAAAGGAGAACUAAUUCUAGAGAUUCAUUAUGUAUAAUUUUGAAACAGAUUGUUAAUAUUUAUUGCUGUUAUAGGGCGUUUAUUAUUUAUGAGGUCAUUUGUUCGAGGGUUGUCUAUGUAUUAAAUAGUAGGGGUUAACUGGUUAUGAUUUUCCGUAAAAUUUUAUCGCUACCUGGGUUCGUAUCCGGUCACUUGGAACACUUUAAGUGGUAAGAAAACGUGGAUUUUAUAGAUGUCGUGGUGAUUAGUUAUUGAACCUAGAAAACCUUUGAGAUCUUACCAUGAUCAUCAAACAAUAUAUUAUUUUGUUUGAUUUUUUUCUCUAGAAAUUCAAAUUAUUUAUUUUGUAGAUGCAGAACAUUUGUUAGUGUCAGCAAAUCCGAUCAUAAACAAGGUACAUCCGAAAAUAUCGAUCUUUUCGGAUUAAUAAUGCUUGAUAUUUUAUUCAGAUGCUUAUACUUUUAAGUAUCAUGUAGACGAUAUAUAAAAAGAAUUUUGAAAUUUUAUUUUAUUUAAGUACCAAAUAGUAUCUACAGGCAGGUGAGCAAAUAAUUUAAAGGGAAACUAAUUCUAGAGAUUCAUUAUGUAUAAUUUUGAAACAGAUUGUUAAUAUUUAUUGCUGUUAUAGGACGUUUAUUAUUUAUGAGGUCAUUUGUUCAAGGGUUGUCUAUGUAUUAAAUAGUAGGGGUUAACUGGUUAUGAUUUUCUGUAAAAUAUUAUCGCUACCUGGGUUCGAAUCCGGUCACUUGGAACACUUUAAGUGGUAAGAAAACGUGGAUUUUAUAGGUGUCGUGGUGAUUAGUUAUUGAACCUAGAAAACCUUUGCAAUCUUACCAUGAUCAUCAAACAAUAUAUUAUUUUGUUUGAAUUUUUUCUCUAGAAAUUCAAAUUAUUUAUUUUGUAGAUGCAGAACAUUUGUUAGUGUCAGCAAAUCCGAUCAUAAACAAGGUACAUCCGAAAAUAUCGAUCUUUUCGGAUUAAUAAUGCUUGAUAUUUUAUUCAGAUGCUUAUACUUUUAAGUAUCAUGUAGACGAUAUAUAAAAAGAAUUUUGAAAUUUUAUUUUAUUUAAGUACCAAAUAGUAUCUACAGGCAGGUGAGCAAAUAAUUUAAAAGAGAACUAAUUCUAGAGAUUCAUUAUGUAUAAUUUUGAAACAGAUUGUUAAUAUUUAUUGCUGUUAUAGGACGUUUAUUAUUUAUGAGGUCAUUUGUUCGAAGGUUGUCUAUGUAUUAAAUAGUAGGGGUUAACUGGUUAUGAUUUUCCGUAAAAUUUUACUGUUUAUGAAAAAAAUUUGUAGAGCUUAAUUUCGUGAAUGUAAAUAGGGGUUAAUUUGUUUUGUUUAAAAUUAUUAUUUUCGUGAAUGUAAUUUUUUUUUGUUAAUUUGUACUUUGUAGGUAUAAAAAUAUGUUGGGAGAUCAUUUAUAGCUAUGUAGGAUCGUCGUGUUUAGGGUGUCUGAUGGCUAGGGUAUUAUGUUCCUUCGUUUUGACUAAUUUACAUAUAACAACUGUUUUGAAUAUUUUUAUUUUUAGUUUAUAUCUUCCAUUUAGAAUUAUGUUGAUUUGAAAUGUAAUAUGUGGUCAUAUGUGCAUUAAAUGUAAUAUGUGGUCAUAUAACAACUGUUUUGAACAAGGUUCUAAAAAUCAGUCUAGGCAGUGUUUAAACGGCAACUCGGUCCUAUCCGAAAUGAUUUCUUAAAAUCCGAUUUAUACUGAUUUAUAUGAUUCAAAUUUGAUUUUAAACUGUUCUAAAUCGGUUAAAAUCGAUAUAAAAUUAUUGUUAACUUAAGUAAUAAUAUUAUUACAAAUCUACAAAUUUGUCUACUUUCUUAUGUUUUGUAUAUCUAAUUUUGAUACUUCAUCACGAUAAUUUUAUAAUUAAACUUAAAAACUAAAAUAUGUCAUAUAAAUGUAUAAAACAUAUAAAAUAAAUCAAUAAUUUAUUAAUGCUUAGACUCCAAAUAAUACGCCUAAUCGUUACUCUUUUAUAAAUCGCCUAGUUACCGCCUAGCAAUUUUUAGAACAUUGGUUUUGAAUAUUUUUAUUUUUAGUUUAUAUCUAUCUUCCAUUUAGAAUUAUGUUGAUUUGAAAUGUAAUAUGUGGUCAUAUGUGCAUUAAGUUUGUCGUCGUUGAGUUCUUUUAUGAAUGAGCGAUUUUUUAACUUAACGAUCAUUGUCUUGAAGUUUUUCUUUCCUUUUUGCUAAAUUGUCUUGAGGUUCCAUUGUGAGAUUAAAUUUAUGUGUCAGAGUAUUAAUUAAUAGAAUUGUUUUAUCAGAAAGAAUUUCAGUUUAGUUCUGACAAUAAAAACUGAAGGUUCUUGUUCAAAUCAUGAACACAAAUUAUCUAACAUAUUUGUAGUAAAAAAAUAUGAGAUUUUAGUUUUCGAUAUAUAUUUUUUGUAUUCUUAUAUAUUUUUCAUCUCGUAGCCCCGUAACUAUAAUUCCAUGAAGUGAUUAAAAACUUACCUCGUAAAUAUUUCGUCUAGUUAUUGUCUCUAUAUUCUCUUUUGCAUAACAUCAGAAUUCUUUAGAGAUUUUAUUAAUAUUUAUUUUUAUCUCCAAAAUUUAGAUUUUCUACUAUCUGUAAAUCGUUAUUUAUGUGGUUGCUCUUCUUUUUUAUGUAUGUGGUUGCUCUUCUAUUUUGGUCAAAGUCCUUUAACUUGGUUUGUUGUAAGAAAAUUGAGACACAGUUUUGUUGAGAUUGGCUACAUUUCUUAAUCGAUAUAAUUAUUUUAAUGGAACUGUUUUAAAAAUAAUUUUCAAAAGGCUUGAAAUCCUUAUAAAAGUUUACAACAUCAAUACAUGUAGGAACAAAAAUACCUCCUCAAAAGCCUUUUACAUAUGUCAAAAGAUCUAAAAAUGAAAUGGACAUGAUGCUUUGUCCAAAAAAAAAAAAGAACUGGACAUGAUGUUUCUAGGACUUGACGGAGAAGUCACUAUCAGUUCGUUGCUCACCUUUCUGAUUCCAUAUCUGCUUUUGAUUUUUAGUUUCAAGCUUGUUUACAAUUGUGUUAAAAAAAACUUGUUUACAAUAAGAAUACAAAAGCCCAGCCAGCCAGUGGUUCACUAACUUUAUCACUAAAUGUUUUUCAUGUUGAUAACAUCAAAAUCACUUUCCCCUCAGCAACUUGUUCUUGUUUAGAUCUAACUUAUGAACAUAAGUUACUUCUUGUUUAGAUCACACAUAUGAAGUAUGUCUUCCAUCAAACUUACUUUCCAUAACCCAGGAAAGUUCGAUAAUUUAUAGAAAAAAGAUUACAUUAUAGAGAUGCAGAUUCUAUAUUAAUUAUGGUCUCCAAUAUCCUUCGUUUCUAAUUUUCACCUAAUAUCAUCAUUAACGGGGUAUGCAACUCCUGUCUCUUAGUAUUAAUAGCAAUUAAAAAAAGUUAGGUUAAAUAGGAAGAAACGUUGCUUAAUUAAGAGUUACAUAGGGACGGUCUUUUGAGACACGUGUUUUUGAGACACGUGUUGGCUAAAGAGCGUUCAUCUCUUUCUCUUUCCCUCUCGUCGACCAUUCUCCAAAAUCUCUCAGACAAUACUCGAUGGCGACGAUUCCUCCCCAAUUCUUCAGGGCAAGUCAAAUAUACUUCUUCUGUGUGUUAGAUUAUGGACGGAGGAGGUGGCGACGGUGGUGGUGCCGCGUACAACCACACACGGUGGAGGAUGUUUUUAGGGAUUUUAAGGUUCGUAGGAAUGGCAUGAUUAAGGCUCUAACCACUGAUGUUCAGGAGUUUUACCGACUUUGCAAUCCAGGUGAGUGCCCUUCAGAGAUUUGUUUGUGGGAUUGAUGAAAGUCACUAUUUUUAUAGUGUGUGUGUUUGAAUUGUCUUUGUUGGCUCUGUUUUGCUGAGUGUUGAAUGAUGCAUUAGGGGUUUUGAUAGUUUCUCUGAAUUAUGAGCGAUAAAGGAGUAAAGUUUUGUUUUUUGUUUGUGGGAUUGAUUUCCUUGAAAGUCUUUGCUUUUUUUUUUGUUUGAGUUUUCUUUCUUGUGCUCUGUUUCUCUGAGCUCUCCUUGAAGGCGGAGUAAAGUUUAGAUUUUUGAAUAUUGAUUUUCAAAAUAAUGUCCUUCUGUCUGAAAUCUCUUUUGGUAGUCACAAGUUCGUGAUGAUGAGCAGAAGUUGUGUCAGAUACAAAGAAAGCUAUUGAGUUGGAUCCUGCAUUAGCCAAAGCUUACUUAAGAAAAGGCUACUUGGAUACAGCAUGGAGAAGAGGAUUGCGCCUAGGGGUACCGUAAUCAAAGCUCUCAUUGCCAAAGGGUUGCUUGGAAGUGAACCCCUUCGAUUCCAUGUGUCUUGGCAUAUACCAGUGAAGCAGCUUGUGACUGAGUUAUUACUUAUUAGCGAGAUCUUGAGGAAAGAUAGUAAUAAAAUAGAUUAGAAAAGCUCUCAUCACCAAAGGGUUGUUUGGUUUAUCGGUUUCAUCAGAAAGAACAUUGGUUAUGUUCUUUCAUGAUUCAGAAACAUCAUGAUGCUUUUUUUUGUGAAUCAUAUUUCAUUCAUGCAAUUAAAACUGGUACAUUCAUGCAAUUAAAAUGUUUAAGAGUUUUGUUUUUAAAAAUCCUUAAUUAAGAGCCUUACAAUGGAGCAUAAAAAUGUUUGGAUUUUUUUAAUAUUGUCUCUUAACUUAUUUUUACUACUUAAAAAUAUUAUAAAAAAAAUAAGAACCCUUAAAUGGGUUUUUGGGAUAAUCAUACAAAAAUGAAAAAAAACGAAACAUUGAUUGAUGAUUUUCGAAACCUUCUAAAUAACCAAAAAAAAAAAACACUCAAUCUAAUUAA